CUCGAUUUCCUGACCUUGUGAUCCGCCCGCGUCGGCCUCCCAAAGUGCUGGGAUUACAGGCGUGAGCCACCGCGCCCAGCAACUCUCGACUUUUAAAUGUUAGCGGCAGACCAAACCAAACAAACACAGCUGCAGGACGGGUCUGGUACGCAGGGCUCCCACUUUGCAGUCUCUGAUCUGUAGGCCGAACAACGGCAAGAACUGUCUGGAUCCCACAAACAUCCCCAGCCAAACUUCUGAGGCCUUAAGGGGAGGAGGCCUUGCACACCUGACUGGAGAACAGGCCUAAGAACUGCAGUGUUCUGUUUCCUGCUCUGCUUUAGAAAAGAGAGGAGACAGAAAACCAGAGGGUCUUUUAAUUGGAAGCAAGGGUGGCCCUUCAGAGUCUCAGUUAAGAGUCAAGGAAAGAUGAGAUCACUUGGGUAGCUCAAGAAGGGAAAAGGAUUUAUUAGACCAUUUCCAGGACAGGGACCCAGGGGCAGUGGCUGGGUUCAGUGUUCUCACGCUCAGAGGAAGAAAAGGCAGUGGUGAACACCCGCCUGACUGCCUUACCCUGAUCUAAACGACACCAUCUCCUCCCCCAAGGAAGACACAGCCCUGGAUGUGAACCUAGGAGGGUGGGAAUGGCUUAUGUCACUCGGUCUUUGAGGCAGAGCUUGGGCUGGGGUUGCAGGGGCAUCAGCCAAUCUGCUCUCAAGGAGCAAAACUUGGGCGUAAAAGGAACGGGCAGUGGGGCUAGCCGGCUGUCUGGAGGUCUGGGUGACCUGGCAGCACGGCUGCUUCUCCCCCGCCACCCCGCCCCACUCCUUGACACUUCCAGGUGAUUUUAUCUUUAUAAAUAAGAUGAAAAUCCAAGCAGCAUUAAUUUAGGGGAACAAAAGAUGGAAAAAAAA
rnacentral:lncRNA from 1 species